rnacentral:lncRNA from 1 species
AUAAACAUGUAUAAAUCUGAGAAAGAAAAAUAAUUUGGUAUUUUGUCUUGCAAGACUGGCCUCCUGGGAUGUGGAAAAAGGCAUCUUCCUCAACAGCAGCAGUACUGGUGUGGGUUAAAGAUUGUAUUUUAAAUUCCACCAGGCAAUCUCAAAAUGAACUGUUCUGAGAACAUCUUCAAAAAGUAAUGCCAGACUGUGAGACACCUAUGGUGAAUAAUGUCUUUCCUCAUGCAGUGAAGUACUUCUUUGUGAAAUCUAAAACAAUCAGUCCUAUGAAGUCAGUUUGUUUCACUGAUGU